rnacentral:rRNA from 1 species
UAGAGUUUUGRAACUGGCUCAGAUUGAACGCUGGCGGCAGGCCUAACACAUGCAAGUCGAGCGGUAGAGAGAAGCUUGCUUCUCUUGAGAGCGGCGGACGGGUGAGUAAUGCCUAGGAAUCUGCCUGGUAGUGGGGGAUAACGUUCGGAAACGGACGCUAAUACCGCAUACGUCCUACGGGAGAAAGCAGGGGACCUUCGGGCCUUGCGCUAUCAGAUGAGCCUAGGUCGGAUUAGCUAGUUGGUGAGGUAAUGGCUCACCAAGGCGACGAUCCGUAACUGGUCUGAGAGGAUGAUCAGUCACACUGGAACUGAGACACGGUCCAGACUCCUACGGGAGGCAGCAGUGGGGAAUAUUGGACAAUGGGCGAAAGCCUGAUCCAGCCAUGCCGCGUGUGUGAAGAAGGUCUUCGGAUUGUAAAGCACUUUAAGUUGGGAGGAAGGGUUGUAGAUUAAUACUCUGCAAUUUUGACGUACCGACAGAAUAG